rnacentral:rRNA from 1 species
AACGUAGGGGACAAGCGUUAUCCGGAUUUACUGGGCGUAAAGCGCCCGUAGGCGGCCUGACAAGUUGGACGUGAAAGCUCCUGGCUUAACUGGGAGAGGCCGUUCAAAACUGUCAAGCUAGAGUCUGGAAGAGGAGAGCGGAAUUCCCGGUGUAGUGGUGGAAUGCGUAGAGAUCGGGAGGAACACCAGUGGCGAAGGCAGCUCGCUGGGACGGUACUGACGCUGAGGCGCGAAAGCGUGGGGAGCGAACAGG